GACAAUGUGGCAUAGUGGUUUGAGCAUUGGACUAUGACUCUGCAGACCAGAGUUUGAAUCCCGGCUCAGUCA